AUGAGCGCUGGCGGCGUGCCUAAUACAUGCAAGUCGAGCGAACGGACGAGAAGCUUGCUUCUCUGAUGUUAGCGGCGGACGGGUGAGUAACACGUGGAUAACCUACCUAUAAGACUGGGAUAACUUCGGGAAACCGGAGCUAAUACCGGAUAAUAUUUUGAACCGCAUGGUUCAAAAGUGAAAGACGGUCUUGCUGUCACUUAUAGAUGGAUCCGCGCUGCAUUAGCUAGUUGGUAAGGUAACGGCUUACCAAGGCAACGAUGCAUAGCCGACCUGAGAGGGUGAUCGGCCACACUGGAACUGAGACACGGUCCAGACUCAUACGGGAGGCAGCAGUAGGGAAUCUUCCGAAAGGGGCGAAAGCCUGACGGAGCAACGCCGCGUGAGUGAUGAAGGUCUUCGGAUCGUAAAACUCUGUUAUUAGGGAAGAACAUAUGUGUAAGUAACUGUGCACAUCUUGACGGUACCUAAUCAGAAAGCCACGGCUAACUACGU
rnacentral:rRNA from 1 species